rnacentral:rRNA from 1 species
GAUGAACGCUAGCUACAGGCUUAACACAUGCAAGUCGAGGGGCAGCAGGAACAAAGCUUGCUUUGUUUGCUGGCGACCGGCGCACGGGUGCGUAACGCGUAUCGAACCUGCCCUAUACCCGGGGAUAGCCUUGCGAAAGUAAGAUUAAUACCCGAUGUUGUUAUUCCAUCGCAUGAUGUUUUAACCAAAGAUUUAUCGGUAUAGGAUGGCGAUGCGUGACAUUAGGUAGUAGGUGAGGUAACGGCUCACCUAGCCUACGAUGUCUAGGGGUUCUGAGAGGAAGGUCCCCCACACUGGAACUGAGACACGGUCCAGACUCCUACGGGAGGCAGCAGUGAGGAAUAUUGGUCAAUGGUCGAGAGACUGAACCAGCCAAGUAGCGUGCAGGAUGACGGCCCUCUGGGUUGUAAACUGCUUUUAGUUGGGAAUAAAAGGGAGUACGUGUACUCUGUAUUGUAUGUACCAUCAGAAAAAGGACCGGCUAAUUCCGUGCCAGCAGCCG